GAUGAACGCUGGCGGCGUGCCUAAUACAUGCAAGUCGAGCGAACGGACGAGAAGCUUGCUUCUCUGAUGUUAGCGGCGGACGGGUGAGUAACACGUGGAUAACCUACCUAUAAGACUGGGAUAACUUCGGGAAACCGGAGCUAAUACCGGAUAAUAUUUUGAACCGCAUGGUUCAAAAGUGAAAGACGGUCUUGCUGUCACUUAUAGAUGGAUCCGCGCUGCAUUAGCUAGUUGGUAAGGUAACGGCUUACCAAGGCGACGAUGCAUGGCCGACCUGAGAGGGUGAUCGGCCACACUAGAACUGAGACACGGUCCAGACUCCUACGGGAGGCAGCAGUAGGGAAUCUUCCGCAAUAGGCGAAAGCCUGACGGAACAACGCCACGUGAGUGAUGAAGAUCUUCGGAUCGUAAAACUCUGUUAUUGGGGAAGAACAUAUGUGUAAGUAACUGUGCACAUCUUGACGGUACCUAAUCAGAAAGCCACGGCUAACUACGUG
rnacentral:rRNA from 1 species